GCUGGUGUAGCUCAGGGGUAGAGCACCCGCCUUGUAAGCGGACGGUCGCAGGUUCAAAUCCCGUCACCAGCU
rnacentral:tRNA from 1 species